UACGGAGGAUCCAAGCGUUAUCCGGAUUUAUUGGGUUUUAAAGGGUGCGUAGGCGGCCUAUUUAAGUCAGGGGUGAAAGACGGUAGCUUUAACUAUCGCAGUGCCUUUUGAUACUGAUGGGCUUGAAUGAACUAGAGGUAGGCGGAAUGUGACAAGUAGCGGUGAAAUGCAUAGAUAUGUCACAGAACACCAAUUGCGAAGGCAGCUUACUAUGGUUUUAUUUGACGCUGAGGCACGAAAGCGUGGGGAUCAAACAGG
rnacentral:rRNA from 1 species